ACGGAAGGCAGCAGUGAGGAAUAUUGGUCAAUGGAGGCAACUCUGAACCAGCCAUCUCGCGUGAAGGGAUACGGCCCUACGGGUCUUAAACUUCUUUUAUAGGGGGAUAAAGUGAGAUAUGCGUAUCUUUUUGUAGGUACCCUAUGAAUAAGCAUCGGCUAACUCCGUGCCAGCAGCCGCGGUAAUACGGAGGAUGCAGGCGUUAUCCGGAUUUAUUAGGUUUAAAGGGUGCGCAGGCGGGACACUAAGUCGGCGGUGAAAUCUCAUGGCCCAACCAUGAAACUGCCAUCGAUACUGGUGACCUUGAGUACGAAUGAGGAAGGCGGAAUGAGUCGUGUAGCGGUGAAAUGCUUAGAUAUGACUCAGAACACCAAUUGCGAAGGCAGCUUUCCAAAACGCAACUGACGCUCAUGCACGAAAGCGUGGGUAGCGAACAGGACUAGAUACCCUGGUA
rnacentral:rRNA from 1 species